AGCGAAGGGGUGACGCAGGAAGGUAGCCGUACCAGUCAGUGGUAACACUGGGGCAAGCCGGUAGGGAGAGCGAUAGGCAAAUCCGUCGCUCACUAAUCCUGAGAGGUGACGCAUAGCCGGUUGAGGCGAAUUCGGUGAUCCUCUGCUGCCAAGAAAAGCCUCUAGCGAGCACACACACGGCCCGUACCCCAAACCGACACAGGUGGUCAGGUAGAGCAUACCAAGGCGUACGAGAUAACUAUGGUUAAGGAACUCGGCAAAAUGCCCCCGUAACUUCGGGAGAAGGGGGACCGGAAUAUCGUGAACACCCUUGCGGUGGGAGCGGGAUCCGGUCGCAGAAACCAGUGAGGAGCGACUGUUUACUAAAAACACAGGUCCGUGCGAAGUCGCAAGACGAUGUAUACGGACUGACGCCUGCCCGGUGCUGGAAGGUUAAGAGGACCCGUUAACCCGCAAGGGUGAAGCGGAGAAUUUAAGCCCCAGUAAACGGCGGUGGUAACUAUAACCAUCCUAAGGUAGCGAAAUUCCUUGUCGGGUAAGUUCCGACCUGCACGAAUGGCGUAACGACUUCUCAACUGUCUCAACCAUAGACUCGGCGAAAUUGCACUACGAGUAAAGAUGCUCGUUACGCGCGGCAGGACGAAAAGACCCCGGGACCUUCACUACAACUUGGUAUUGAUGUUCGGUACGGUUUGUGUAGGAUAGGUGGGAGACUGUGAAACCUCGACGCCAGUUGGGGCGGAGUCGUUGUUGAAAUACCACUCUGAUCGUAUUGGGCAUCUAACCUCGAACCCUGAAUCGGGUUUAGGGACAGUGCCUGGCGGGUAGUUUAACUGGGGCGGUUGCCUCCUAAAAUGUAACGGAGGCGCCCAAAGGUUCCCUCAACCUGGACGGCAAUCAGGUGGCGAGUGUAAAUGCACAAGGGAGCUUGACUGCGAGACUUACAAGUCAAGCAGGGACGAAAGUCGGGAUUAGUGAUCCGGCACCCCCGAGUGGAAGGGGUGUCGCUCAACGGAUAAAAGGUACCCCGGGGAUAACAGGCUGAUCUUCCCCAAGAGUCCAUAUCGACGGGAUGGUUUGGCACCUCGAUGUCGGCUCGUCGCAUCCUGGGGCUGGAGCAGGUCCCAAGGGUUGGGCUGUUCGCCCAUUAAAGCGGCACGCGAGCUGGGUUUAGAACGUCGUGAGACAGUUCGGUCUCUAUCCGCCGCGCGCGUCAGAAACUUGAGGAAACCUGUCCCUAGUACGAGAGGACCGGGACGGACGAACCUCUGGUGCACCAGUUGUCCCGCCAGGGGCACCGCUGGAUAGCCACGUUCGGUCAGGAUAACCGCUGAAAGCAUCUAAGCGGGAAACCUUCUCCAAGAUCAGGUUUCUCACCCACUUGGUGGGAUAAGGCCCCCCGCAGAACACGGGUUCAAUAGGUCAGACCUGGAAGCUCAGUAAUGGGUGUAGGGAACUGGUGCUAACCGGCCGAAAACUUACAACA
rnacentral:rRNA from 1 species